rnacentral:rRNA from 1 species
GACGAACGCUGGCGGCGUGCUUAACACAUGCAAGUCGAACGGUGAAGCGCCUUCCUUUUUGGUGGGUGUGGAUGCGUGGCGAACGGGUGAGUAACACGUGAGUAACCUGCCCCCUUCUUCUGGAUAACCGCAUGAAAGUGUGUCUAAUACGGGAUAUCCUGGGUCUGUCGCAUGAUGGGUCUGGGAAAGAUAUUGUUUCGGUGGGGGAUGGGGUCGGGGCGUAUCAGCUUGUUGGUGGGGUGCUGGCCUACGAAGGCGGUGGCGGGUAGCCGGCUUGAGGGGGUGGACGGCUGCAAGGGGACUGGGACACAGCCGAAACUAGAAAGGGAGGCAGCAGUGAGGAAUAGUGGAAAAUGGGCGAAAGCCUGAUGCAGCGACGGCGCGUGGGGGAUGGAGGCCUUCGGGUAGUGAACCUCUUGCGCCGGUGAAGCAGGCCGGCUUCGUUUGUGGGUGGGUUGACGGUAGCUGGAUAAGAAGCGCCGGCUAACUACGU